UGGGGAAUAUUGGACAAUGGGGGCAACCCUGAUCCAGCAAUGCCGCGUGUGUGAAGAAGGUUUUCGGAUUGUAAAGCACUUUCGGCGGGGACGAUGAUGACGGUACCCGCAGAAGAAGCCCCGGCUAACUUCGUGCCAGCAGCCGCGGUAAUACGAAGGGGGCUAGCGUUGCUCGGAAUGACUGGGCGUAAAGGGCGUGUAGGCGGUUUGUACAGUCAGAUGUGAAAUCCCCGGGCUUAACCUGGGAGCUGCAUUUGAUACGUGUAGACUAGAGUGUGAGAGAGGGUUGUGGAAUUCCCAGUGUAGAGGUGAAAUUCGUAGAUAUUGGGAAGAACACCGGUGGCGAAGGCGGCAACCUGGCUCAUAACUGACGCUGAGGCGCGAAAGCGUGGGGAGCAAACAGGAUUAGAUACCCUGGUAGUCCACGCUGUAAACGAUGUGUGCUAGAUGUUGGGUAACUUAGUUAUUCAGUGUCGCAGUUAACGCGUUAAGCACACCGCC
rnacentral:rRNA from 1 species